GCCAUGCUGACGAGUCCUGAAAAGGACGAAACAGCUGUCCAUGGU
rfam:Nematostella vectensis strain CH2 x CH6 NEMVEscaffold_7154_Cont52561, whole genome shotgun sequence.